rnacentral:rRNA from 1 species
CACUGCCGAGAAAAGCCUCUAGAUAGAAAAUAGGUGCCCGUACCGCAAACCGACACAGGUAGUCAAGAUGAGAAUUCUAAGGUGAGCGAGCGAACUCUCGUUAAGGAACUCGGCAAAAUGACCCCGUAACUUCGGGAGAAGGGGUGCUCUUUAGGGUUAACGCCCAGAAGAGCCGCAGUGAAUAGGCCCAAGCGACUGUUUAUCAAAAACACAGGUCUCUGCUAAACCGUAAGGUGAUGUAUAGGGGCUGACGCCUGCCCGGUGCUGGAAGGUUAAGAGGAGUGGUUAGCUUCUGCGAAGCUACGAAUCGAAGCCCCAGUAAACGGCGGCCGUAACUAUAACGGUCCUAAGGUAGCGAAAUUCCUUGUCGGGUAAGUUCCGACCCGCACGAAAGGCGUAACGAUUUGGGCACUGUCUCAACGAGAGACUCGGUGAAAUCAUAGUACCUGUGAAGAUGCAGGUUACCCGCGACAGGACGGAAAGACCCCGUGGAGCUUUACUGUAGCCUGAUAUUGAAAUUCGGCACAGCUUGUACAGGAUAGGUAGGAGCCUUUGAAACGUGAGCGCUAGCUUACGUGGAGGCGCU